GGAUAUCGUUUUUUUAUUAACGUUUUAUCAGUUACAAUUUUGAUUACAUACAUAUAAUGUGGAUCCUUCUUUAAACACAUGGUUGCUAUGAUACAAAUGACGAGGAUAAAAAUUUGGAGUGCGUAAAAAUGUAAUUAGAUGACAAUUUAUUUUUGUUUUUAUUUUCUUUUUUUUUUCUUUUCUUUUCUUAUUACUUCAUUGGUCAUGGCGAUGGGCCAACUUUGAAACGUAUAUUAAUAUAAUAUACCGAGUUUGGCCCAUGUCCACUUGUAAGUGGGUAGGUAGGUAGGUAGGUAGGUAAUAUCCUUGAUCGCAAUUAAAUCGUCCCUAAUUCGCUAAUAUUUUACACACUAACAGUGCGCAAUCGUCGCUCAAGACUGAUGUCCGAUGUUAAAAGAUCUGAUCGUCCCGCCGAUCUCAGGAUUGUGUCUCUCACAUCGAUCACAGAGAGAGGCUUUUCGGAGCUUUCAGUGUGCCAAAUUCAAAGGACAAUAUUUACAAAAAUAUCGAAUAACAAUCGACGACAACGUGAUUAAAAGCAAACUUCUAAAAUAUCUCGGAUAUCAAUAAAGAUAAUUAAUAUAUUGGAGGAUAUACGAGUCUAAAUAUUUCGAACGGAAUUGUUUUAUCACUAAAUGAGCUAAAUGAGGAACUUUGACUGCAAAAAUCAAUCCAACGACUUAAAGAAUCGCUCGAUCGAGUCGACGAGAAGGAAGUGAUCGCGAUAAUGAUCGCAGUGAUCAUUCGGCUAUUCAAUCCAAAGCUCGCUUUUGAAUACGACACACUCUCUUCCUGAACCAAAAUGUAUUCGAGAUCUUUCCAAUUCAGAAUCAAACCAUCAUGCGAAGAAUCUCGUACGCGAAAUUAGCAGCAUCGCGCGUAUAUCAUUCGAUCAAUCAUGCUCUCAGACGUUAAUCCUGUCAGAAUAUACCGAAUUAUAUUUAGAUUAAAGACGUUUUGUUUCAGGAAAUAAAUAAUUCUUUAGAAUAGUUAUACUUAACAAAUAACUUUACUAUCUUUUCUAAUUUUCCAUUUUCUGUGCGACAAAAUGCCAAUCGUUAUCAUGUAGACUAAUCAAACAGAAUGUACUAAUGUUUGGAUGAAUGAGUCAAUUGAAUGAACGCGAUACUCUAUUCAUGGAUGCUAGAUGAACAAUUCGUUUAUUAACAGUCUAUCAAAUAUUAAUCGCGAAUUACGACAUCGCGGCCGGCAAAUGUCAUUCGCGCUAAAUCUUGUUGAUGAAUAGAAAUUAAGCUAAUCGAACGCUUGCUGUUUAUCAGUCGAUGGCUUCGUGAAUCACACAUGAUUUGCACGAUCGCGAAAGAUUUAAUUAAAGAUCAUCAUUUUAAUACGUUUAAUAAUGCAGUUUAUGGCAAGAAUUCGGCACGAUUUAUUCAAUUUCUCUGGUAUGUAUAAAUGCAAUAUCUCAUCAACUACAAAAUAAAAGUUUCAAUCACACUAGAUAACAUCAAUAAAAAUAGACUUCAUAGACACUGAUCAAUCUCAUAAUAAUGUUAAAUAUAAUUAAAGUAAUUUACAUUCAAAAAAAUUAAGAUUGAUUCUAAAUACAUGAUUUUUAGUUUGAUUGCCAUUUCUACUUGCUUGUAAAGAAUCUUAUGAUUUUCGUUAUAUGUUAAAAUUCGCAAAAUUAUUUUGCGAUUCUAAAUCUAUAGUCUUCCUGAAUAAAAGAAUAUACGUGUUUAAGACUAAAGAAUAAUUAUAUAAUUCGAAAAUUUUAGAAUAAAAAUUUCUAAAAUACAAAGUGUUGAAACUUUUACUCGCGAUACAAGUAAGUCGUAUUCAUUGAUGUAUCAAAACUGCAUUACAAUAGCGUGCGAAUUAAACAUGAUCUUAAUCCGAAUUAGGUAAAAACAGAAGAUUCACUAACGAAAUUGCACUAGUCCUUUAAUUGUUCGCGAGAGCGCAAAGCAUUGAGCAACAAAGACUAUAAUUAACGCAAAAUCGUGUUAAGUAAUUAAGAAAUAAUACGCGCCAUUGUGUUAAUUAUUCGUAAUAAAUUUCGUGUUGUCUUUCGCAAUCGUCGUCCUUUAUGAGCGUCCUUUUUGCACAUUUCGCGCGGAAACGAGAAGCGCGACUUCAAAGGCAAGCGUUUAAAUUUUAUCCCGGCAAUCUCUUCUGAUCGCCAUAGCGAAAGAGAUUCAGCAUUUAUAUAUCCUUUUUCGUAUCAGAAAAUAUGCGCAAUUCCGCGUUUUGUACAUUCGCAGAAAUACAAAGAAAGAAAGAAAAGAAUGAAAUGCGUUCGAAACCAAAAGCCGCUUUCUCGCAGAUUAAUUCACGACCCUAGGUCAUCCGCCUUGUGUGCGACCUGUCACUCUAUUAUGAUCGAUACUUUCACUGAGCCCGCCGAGCCCGUUGUCCCUCCGCUUUCCUCUUGCGCAUAAAUUAAAAAACUUGACUCGUACAAGUAUGACCCCAUAUGGUGAUGAACAUUCACGAGGUGUAUCGCUCGAGACGUUCCACAUAGCGCGCCAACUCGUAGAACCAUUGUUUGAAAUUAAAAUAGCUUCUGAAUGAAGAUGCGGCCGAGAGUUUGCGUGUCUCGUCUCGCAUCUCGUGGCUAUUCUCAACGCUGUUUCGAAGUGCAUCGCCGACUAUUCGAACGGAACACAGAUGGGAUUUAUCUUCGGAUAGGCAUUUAAAUCAAUAUGCACUCCUGAAAGAGAGAGAGAGAGAAAGAUAAUUUAACGCAUAAAUGAUAUAUACUUUUGAAAAAAUACCUAACGCAAUAACGCGUGACGAUAUUCAACGGUGACGUUUGCUAAAUCUUAUUCAAUCUGUUAUCAACGUCUGAGGACUGAUUCCACCGAUUAUUUCGAUUCGAGCGGUUCUUCAUCUCCUUCUACAAGUUUCGAGCUAGAAAAAGGCGAAGAAUCGAUAAAAAUACCGCGGUUAAAAGUUAAUUAUCAUCGGUAAAGCCAGCCCGUAAAUGUUCGCCGGUCAACUUUACGACAUUGUGUUUGCCUGCGAAUGUGACUAGUGCGAUACCGCGGAAUGUCGAGAUCUUGUUUGCUUGCAGCGAAGCGUCGUGAACCGCGCGUUACGGAUCGGACUACUAUAACGAAGAUCACAGUCCUUUCCUUAUACGGAGGGCAAAUCGUGCCGCUCGAGGCCUGGGCGAUGCACUUUCUCCCGGCAAGGAUCUCAAGUUCCGUACCGUCUCGCCUCCGCGCGACUUCGCCGCGUACUUUGUGUAAUGUAUUUUGUUUUCGACUACGUCGCGCGGAUGCGAUUUGAUGCUACUUUCGAGUUUCGGCCUAGGGAUGCCCGUGGGGCAUUAUAAUUUCGGCUUUCAUGCGCUAACAAUUAAAAAUUUGUUCGCCUAUUACUUAUCAUUUCGUGUAUUUUUUGUCGUUUAAAUUCAAUUCACAUUAUUAGGGUAUAAUAAUUAAUUAAUUAAUUAAUUAAUUAUAAUAGUGUCAUUAUAAUUCGUAAUAAUAUACAACAUUUGUCAAUAGAUCAUUUAUGCUAAAACCCACUGCAUGCUCGUGUCGAAAUCAUUCGUACAUUCUCUCGCAUACUCUCCCGCACAUGCACGCAUACACACACGCUCCUAUACACGUGCGUUUUCUGUUUCUCACUCUUUGCGAUUUCGCUUAGCUUUCUCUCUCUAUAUGCACAAGUAUAUUUUACGAAAUACACCUUUCUCCUGCUUUCGCACACUCUCACGCCGUGGGACUGUACUGGCUUCAGGCGUGGCUUAUCUAACUAAUUCACGAUUCUUUCUGUGUGUGACUCUGGAGUAAGUGUAUAUGUAAAUAUAUAAUUGCGUAUGUACGUGUAAAUGCGUGCGCAACGACACGCGUGCGUGCCUUUUUUUGUCACACGCGAUUCGUCUCUCGCUCUCGGUACUUUCUACGUAUAAGCCACAUUCGCUCUUGUAUCUGUGUAGCCUACUUUAUUUCAAUCUAAAAAAAAAGAAUCAGGUAAAAGAAGAUAGAAGAUCAAUGCGCGGCAAUACACGCGUUCGCAUUUAAAACCAGCAAAAUAAUGAGAACACAAUGGCGAUCUCUCGGAGAAAAAAAAAAAAAAUAAGAAUGAUUGAUAUUUAUAUGAUGCACAUGAAUAUGUUGAUGAUAGUCUUUGUAUAUAUCUCAAAAUAUAUUCCCGCUCGAUUUCGACAUGCCAAAAAUGCAGAAAAUGUUUUGUUCUUUAAAAGGAUAUAAAUGGAUUUUUAUAUGUAUAUGUGCUCCGUCUCUUCUCCCUGUUUCUCGUGUAAAAUUCGACAAAUAGUCGGAUUCGAUUCAUUCAUUUGCAAAUAUUCGAGAAUGGUCCGAUUUAAAGAUCCCGAAGGCGCGAUACACCACUUUGAUUUUCCAGAAAGCAACAUCGCUUUUUGGAUUACAAUUAAAAUCGAACAAACAGUA